AGAUAAAAUAUGCAAGUACUAAUAACCGUAAAUCUGGUGUGACAGAAUUCCCUUUAAGAUGCAUGCAAAAAGUUUGCUCUGACCAGCCCAAUCUGUUAGCUGCAUGACAAGUAUAGUUCCCUGUAUUAGAUCUUCUUCUGUUACUUGGAAUAGAGACAGCGUAUGGAGACCUGUAUAUGUGUUUGUCGACAUCUUAUACUUUCCCUGCAAACAUUCAACAUUCAUUAAUCAUUGUAAAAUGAAUAUAUCAAAAAUCAAUUUGAUAAAAGAAGUAAAAAAAUAUAAAUGAAGGAAUAA